CACGUGGUUAGCCGGGGCUUCUUAGUCAGGUACCGUCAUUUUCUUCCCUGCUGAUAGAGCUUUACAUACCGAGAUACUUCUUCACUCACGCGGCGUCGCUGCAUCAGGGUUUCCCCCAUUGUGCAAUAUUCCCCACUGCUGCCUCCCGUAGGAGUUUGGGCCGUGUCUCAGUCCCAAUGUGGCCGUCCACCCUCUCAGGCCGGCUACCGAUCGUCGCUUUGGUGGGCCGUUACCCCGCCAACUGGCUAAUCGGACGCGGAUCCAUCGUAUGCCGAUAAAUCUUUUCACACAGUACCAUGCGGUAUUGUGCGCUUAUGCGGUAUUAGCAGCUGUUUCCAACUGUUAUCCCCCUGCAUACGGCAGGUUAUCCACGCGUUACUCACCCGUCCGCCACUAACUCGGAAAUCACUAGGUUUCAAUCCGAGUCCGUUCGACUUGCAUGUGUUAGCACGCCGCAGCGUUCAUCCUGACGCCAGGAUACAAAACUCU
rnacentral:rRNA from 1 species